UACGUAGGGUGCAAGCGUUAAUCGGAAUUACUGGGCGUAAAGCGUGCGCAGGCGGUUUUGUAAGUCUGUCGUGAAAGCCCCGGGCUCAACCUGGGAAUUGCGAUGGAGACUGCAAGGCUUGAAUCUGGCAGUGGGGGGUAGAAUUCCACGUGUAGCAGUGAAAUGCGUAGAGAUGUGGAGGAACACCGAUGGCGAAGGCAGCCCCCUGGGUCAAGAUUGACGCUCAUGCACGAAAGCGUGGGGAGCAAACAGG
rnacentral:rRNA from 1 species